rnacentral:piRNA from 1 species
UUGAACUUGGGUAGGUGAAGGGAAG